AUUAACGCUGGCGGUGUGCAUAAUACAUGCAAGUCGUGCGCCCGGCACCCUGUUUUCAACUGGAGGUUGAAGAUAGAGUGCCGGGAGCGGCGGACGGGUGAGUAAUACGUUGGUAACUACCCCAGAGUCAGGGAUAACCUCUAGAAAUAGGGGCUAAUACCGGAUUGUCCCGAAAGGGUAAAGCAGCAAUGCGCUUUGGGAGGUGCCUGCGUCCUAUCAGUUAGUUGGUGAGGUAACGGCUCACCAAGACUAUGACGGGUAGCUGGUCUGAGAGGAUGAUCAGCCACAAUGGAACUGAGACACGGUCCAUACUCCUACGGGAGGCAGCAGUAAGGAAUCUUCCGCAAUGGGCGAAAGCCUGACGGAGCAACACCGCGUGGAGGAUGAAGGCGUUUUCGUCGUAAACUCCUUUUCUGAGGGAAUAAUUCUGAAGGUACCUCAGGAAUAAGCAUCGGCUAACUACGU
rnacentral:rRNA from 1 species